rnacentral:rRNA from 1 species
AACGCUAGCUACAGGCUUAACACAUGCAAGUCGCGGGGCAGCAUGAAUUUAGCUUGCUAAAUUUGAUGGCGACCGGCGCACGGGUGAGUAACGCGUAUCCAACCUUCCCUUAUCCACGGGAUAGCCCGUCGAAAGGCGGAUUAAUACCGUAUGAGGUCAUUUGAUGGCAUCUGAUUAUGACGAAAGGUUUAGCGGAUAAGGAUGGGGAUGCGUCCGAUUAGCUUGUUGGCGGGGUAACGGCCCACCAAGGCGACGAUCGGUAGGGGUUCUGAGAGGAAGGUCCCCCACAUUGGAACUGAGACACGGUCCAAACUCCUACGGGAGGCAGCAGUGAGGAAUAUUGGUCAAUGGGCGAGAGCCUGAACCAGCCAAGUAGCGUGCAGGAAGACGGCCCUAUGGGUUGUAAACUGCUUUUAUGCGGGGAUAAAGUGGGGGAUGCAUCCCUUUUUGCAGGUACCGCAUGAAUAAGGACCGGCUAAUUCCGUGCCAGCAGCCGCGGUAAUACGGAGGAUCCAAGCGUUAUCCGGAUUUAUUGGGUUUAAAGGGAGCGUAGAUGGAUUUUUAAGUCAGUUGUGAAAGUUCGGGGCUCAACCCCGUAAUUGCAGUUGAUACUGGAUAUCUUGAGUACAGUUGAGGUAGGCGGAAUUCGUGGUGUAGCGGUGAAAUGCUUAGAUAUCACGAAGAACUCCGAUUG